rnacentral:lncRNA from 1 species
UCAAUCCCCUCCUCAUUUUCCAGCCCGGAGAAAGAGGGGAGUGGGGGGCCAAGAACGAGAAGACGGGAGCGCGUCGCCCUGCGCGAUGUCAGAAUGGGGCGGGUGUGAGGGGAGCAGCUCUCUUGCGAUCAGCUCAGGAGUAUGAGCCUCCCGGAGGACGGCAUGAGUUCUGGACACUUCAGGAGUCCUCAGCUAGUGACAUGGUCGCCAAAGUCACAACCAGAGAGAACAGGAUUCGCAAGGCCAACGCUCCCAGGUGGAAGACUGAUUGGGCCGAGUUGCUGUGAUUGCUGAAGUGAAUCCAUUUGUUCAGCCACUUGGCGGAGCUGUCUUUUUGUGGCUUUUUAUUGUUGUUGUUUGUUUGUUUUUAACCCUAAGAAUUUGGGAAAAAAAUAAAUCACAUCCAAACAGGUGGCCA